rnacentral:rRNA from 1 species
GGCGGACGGGUGAGUAAUAUAUAGGUAAUGUGCCCUAGAGAAGAGGAUAACAGUUGGAAACGACUGCUAAUACUCUAUAUGCCUUUAAGACAAAAGUCUGCAAGGGAAAUAUUUAUAGCUCUAGGAUCGGCCUGUACGGUAUCAGCUAGUUGGUGAGGUAAUGGCUCACCAAGGCAAUGACGCCUAACUGGUUUGAGAGGAUGAUCAGUCACACUGGAACUGAGACACGGUCCAGACUCCUACGGGAGGCAGCAGUGGGGAAUAUUGCACAAUGGGGGAAACCCUGAUGCAGCAACGCCGCGUGGAGGAUGACACAUUUCGGUGCGUAAACUCCUUUUAUAUAGGAAGAUAAUGACGGUACUAUAUGAAUAAGCGCCGGCUAACUCCGUGCCAGCAGCCGCGGUAAUACGGAGGGCGCAAGCGUUACUCGGAAUCACUGGGCGUAAAGAGCGUGUAGGCGGAUAGAUAAGUCAGAAGUGAAAUCCUAUGGCUCAACCAUAGAACUGCUUUUGAAACUGUUUAUCUAGAGUGUGGGAGAGGUAGAUGGAAUUUCUGGUGUAGGGGUAAAAUCCGUAGAGAUCAGAAGGAAUACCGAUUGCGAAGGCGAUCUACUGGAACAUAACUGACGCUGAGACGCGAAAGCGUGGGGAGCAAACAGGAUUAGAUACCCUGGUAGUCCACGCCCU